rnacentral:rRNA from 1 species
AUUAUUUUAAGAUUAUUUUUUAUUGUUGAAAAAAUUAAAAAUAAAUUGUUUUUAACAAAAAUUAAAAUUUAUAAUAUUUCAUUUUUUGGUUUUUUGUUUUAAAUUAAAAUAAUAAAUAUGGGGGAAAAAAAAAUUUUGUUAUAAAUUAUAUUAGUUUAUUUUAAUUAAAAAUAUUUUUUAUUAAAUUUGUUUUUUUUAUUUUUUUAUAAAAAAUAUUAAUUUAAUUAUUAUUAUUGAGUUUAAUUUAGUUAUUUUUAAAAAAAUUUUGUAUAAAAUAAAUUUGAUAAUAAAUGUUUUUUAAAUUCUUUGGGGGUUUAGUUUAUGAUUUUUUGUUUCUGCUCAUUGUUAAAUAAAAGCACUUUUAGCGUGAUUGUCAAAAGGUAAA